AUGUCGUGCGGGGGCAGCCAUUGGGCGCCAUCCCCCAGUGUGGGUGGCCAGCAGGUGGCCGUCAUCUCACGCGCGGGCAACCAGUGGGGGUGCAUACGAGCGUGCCAUCCCCCAGCGCAGGCGGCUGGUGGGCGCACGUCAUCUUGCAGGCGGGCGACCCCCGUGUCAUCUCGUGCACAGGAAGCCGGCAGUUGCACACCAUCCCCCAGAGUGGAUGGCCAGCAGGCACGUGCCAUCUCCCACACGUAUGACUGGUGGGUGCGUACCAUCCCCCAGGGUGGGCUGCCGGGAGCAUGCAAUCUUCCACAUGGGUGGCUGGCAGGCCCAAGCUAUCUCCCGAGUGUCGUCUCCCACACAUGCGGCUGGCAGGCGUGUGUCAUCUCGUGCGCGGGCAGCAGGUGGACGCGCGCCAUCCCUCCGCCCGGGUGGCUGUUGGGCAAGUGCCAUCUUCUACCCACUGAGCCACCGCUGCAGCUCUUCUGGACCUGGCUGCUGCAGUGGAACCCGCUCUGGAUGGCCCCCAACACCAUCACCCUCCUUGGCCUCGCCGUCAACCUGCUCACCACGCUCGUGCUCAUCUCCUACUGCCCCACGGCCACCGAAGAGGCACCGUACUGGACAUACCUUCUUUGUGCCCUGGGACUCUUUAUCUACCAGUCGCUAGAUGCCAUCGAUGGGAAACAAGCCCGAAGAACAAAUUCUUGUUCUCCUUUAGGGGAACUCUUUGAUCAUGGAUGUGACUCCCUUUCCACAGUGUUUAUGGCAUCAGUUGCUGUCCACUUGGGAACUCAUCCUGACUGGCUGUUUUUCUGCUCAUUUAUUGGAAUGUUCCUCUUUUACUGUGCUCACUGGCAGACUUAAUGUUUCAGGCGUGUUGAGGUUUGAAAAAGUGGAUGUAACGGAAAUUCAGGUAGCUUUAAUAAUCAUCUUUAUGUUGUCUACAUUUGGAGGAGCAACAAUGUGGGACUAUACGAUACCCAUUAUAGAACUGAAAUGGAAGAUCUUUCCGGUUCUUGGAGUAGUGGGUGGAGCAGUAUUUUCUUGUUCAAAUUAUUUCCAUGUUAUCCUCCAUGGUGGUGUUGGCAAGAAUGGAUCUACUAUAGCAGGCACUAGCGUCUUGUCACCUGGACUCCAUAUAGGACUAAUUAUCAUACUGGCAAUAAUGAUCUAUAAAAAGUCUGCAACUAAUGUUUUUGAAAAACAUCCUUGUCUUUAUACCCUAAUGUUUGGAUGUGUUUUUGCUAAAGUCGCACAAAAAUUGGUGAUUGCUCACAUGACCAAAAGUGAACUGUACCUUCAAGAUACUGUGUUUAUUGGGCCAGGUCUUUUAUUCUUAGACCAGUACUUUAGUAAUUUUGUAGAUGAAUAUAUUGUCCUAUGGAUAGCAAUGGUCAUUGCUUCAUUUGAUAUGACGAUAUACUUUAGUGCUUUGUGCCUGCAAAUUUCAAGACACCUUCAUAUAAAUAUCUUCAAGACUACAUGUCAUCAAGCACCUGAACAGGUUCACAAGCAUAUUGACUGA